rnacentral:misc_RNA from 1 species
GAAAUGCGAUAAGUAAUGUGAAUUGCAGAAUUCAGUGAAUCAUCGAAUCUUUGAACGCACAUUGCGCCCUUUGGCAUUCCGAAGGGCAUGCCUGUUCGAGCGUCAUUACACCAAUCAAGCCUGGCUUGGUAUUGGGCGACGGGGUCGGUCGAACCACCCCCCGCCCCAAAGACCUCUCCGGCGGGACGGACCGAAUCUCAGCGUUGUGCAAACGUGUCGCUGGCGAGACGGGACGGCCGUGCCGGUAAACCCCAUUUUCUUCAAGGUUGACCUCGGAUCAGGUAGGGAUACCCGCUGAACUUAAGC